rnacentral:lncRNA from 1 species
GCUCUAUCCGUCCUCUCGCUCAUCCCGGAGCCGCGCUUCGCUGUUACCAUGGGAAGCAGCCCUGACCAUAGAGUUACGCGGAAGGUAGGCAGGCACUCGGCCGCGGUGGCAUGUGGGAUGUCGGAGGACUGCGCGGGGGAGGUAUUCGGAUCGCGGCCUGGGCGACGGGCACUGGCGGAAGCGGCUGAGGGCUCAGUGUCUGAACCUUGGAGUGACAAAACAUGUCUCAGUCAGGUGAAAAAGUAAAGGUAAAGAGAUGGCUGCAUGGCCAAAACUUUGUUUAGAAUCUAUUUAACUUCUAAAAUACUUGUGAUUUUAUUGAAGUGGUAAAACAGUGAAUAAAUGAUACCUUAUUGCUUCAUAUGUGGUUCUCAAAAGGAUCUGCUUGGUAGAAACAGAGCUUGCAUGUGUUUCUAGAAAUAGGCUUUCAGGUGAUUGCCAGAUUCAGUGUUUGCUUACAUAUUUAGAAUGGUGCCUUUAUCUAAGGAAAGUUAAUUUGAUGAACCUUCAUUUCUUAUGUAUUGCCCCAUCUGAG